rnacentral:ncRNA from 1 species
UACAUUUGUUCUUUCAUCAGUUUUUAUUACCAGAUAAACAAAGGAAGUUCCGGUGUGAUUCCGGAUACUGCCCCGCAACGGUAAUACCCCGUCUUGCCAUAGACAGACGGGGAUU